UAGGUUCAUGGUGAUACAGGUUAACUUUGAGGUUCAUGCAGAUGGUGUUUAAAACUAUCAGUCAGGAAAAACAAACUCAUUUGAACACAGCUUGAGUCUUCAUAUAUAAAAUGAUGGCAGUACUUUUAAUAUGUUCAUGGUGAUACAGGUUAACUUUGAGGUUCAUGCAGAUGGUGUUUAAAACUAUCAGUCAGGAAAAACAAACUCAUUUGAACACAGCUUGAGUCUUCAUAUAUAAAAUGAUGGCAGUACUUUUAAUAUAGGUUAACGCAGACAGACGCAUUUUGCCGGAAAACGAAUCUGACAUGCCACCUCGAGAUUUUAACCAAGGAAAGACAACUUGAUGUGCUUUGAUUUGAGGGGUCACUCAAUGCUGAACGAAAAUUAGGGACAUUGCUAUGUGAAGAAAUGUUAACAUUGCCGCCUAUGGGAAAAC